rnacentral:misc_RNA from 1 species
GAUGAAGAACGUAGCGAAAUGCGAUAAGUAAUGUGAAUUGCAGAAUUCAGUGAAUCAUCGAAUCUUUGAACGCACAUUGCGCCCGCCAGCAUUCUGGCGGGCAUGCCUGUUCGAGCGUCAUUUCAACCCUCGAGCCCCCCCGGGGGCCUCGGUGUUGGGGGACGGCACACCAGCCGCCCCCGAAAUGCAGUGGCGACCCCGCCGCAGCCUCCCCUGCGUAGUAGCACACACCUCGCACCGGAGCGCGGAGGCGGUCACGCCGUAAAACGCCCAACUUUCUUAGAGUUGACCUCGGAUCAGGAAGGAAUACCCGCUGAACUUAAGCAUAUCAAUAAGCGGAGGA